CAGCCGCCACGGUAAUACGUAGGGUGCAAGCGUUAAUCGGAAUUACUGGGCGUAAAGCGUGCGCAGGCGGUUUGUUAAGACAGAUGUGAAAUCCCCGGGCUCAACCUGGGAACUGCAUUUGUGACUGGCAAGCUAGAGUGUGGCAGAGGGGGGUGGAAUUCCGCGUGUAGCAGUGAAAUGCGUAGAUAUGCGGAGGAACACCGAUGGCGAAGGCAGCCCCCUGGGCCAACACUGACACUGAGGCACGAAAGCGUGGGGAGCAAACAGGAUUAGAUACCCCGGUAGUCCCUGUCUCUUAUAC
rnacentral:rRNA from 1 species